AGACUUCUCAUCACUUGCACGCUUAGGAGACGGGGAAUCCGGUGGGGACCGAUCAUGUGCUGGUGGUGGAGACCUUGAUCGUGACCCGGACAGGCGGCUCCUGGAGACUGACCGUGCACGCUCACGGCUCACCGCGUGACCUUGGUUUCCCGGCAGGGGGCGAACGACUCCGUACAGGGCUUCUGCUGUAGCCACCUCCCCUUCGUCGCUCUCUGUGGACAGGGCUGCGUGAGGUGCUUCGGCUCCUCCUCCUGUACCUACUAUGCCUCAAGUGGUAAAAUAAAAGAAAUCAUGACAUGGAACCAACUCAGAAAUAAUACCUUGAAAUAAAAUUUGAUUCGAUCAUGCGUGUCAUACAUUUAAGUUAAAUAUCCACAUAAAACUAGCACUUGUUCAGAAUUUGGUUCAAUGAUGUGUGCAUCACAAAUAAUACCAGAAGCUUGAUAUCCAUAAAAAAAAAGACCAGUUGUUAAAUUAUCACAUAUAACACCAGUUCAUUUACCUUGGUGAUGAUGGUCUGCCUCUGGCGGGAACCCCGGUAACCCAUGUAUCCACAGAAGGAGAAAAAAUAAUUGAAAAAUCCAGAAUAAAUGAAGCAAAAGCUCAAACUUUGAUUAAAUUACCUGUCACGGUCACUUCUUCCACCAUAGCGAUGCGAGCGAUCAGCAGAAGGUGAGCGAUAUUGUCUUGCAAAUGAGUACCGCUGAGUAAAACCACGUCCCCGCCUUAUGCGUUUUGGAGACCCAUCAGGAGAGCCAGUCCUGGAUGGGCUCCUCCCAUUGUUUGGUGGUGGUGAUAUUGCCCUGCGAGGUGGACUGGGACUUCUGCUAGUGUUCCUGCGAGAUCGACCACCUCUUACAGGGCUUCUGCUCACACUUCUUCUAGGUAUUCUCACAGGGCUCCUGCUCAGGCUUCUACGUAUAUUCCUUCGGGGACUUCUGAUCGGGCUUCUCCU
rnacentral:lncRNA from 1 species